GACGAAGGAUGCAAGCGUUAUCCGGAUUCAUUGGGUUUAAAGGGAGCGUAGGUGGCCUUAUAAGUCAGUGGUGAAAUCUCUCAGCUUAACUGAGAAAUUGCCAUUGAUACUGUAGGGCUUGAGUACGGAUGCCGUUGGCGGAAUAUGACAUGUAGUGGUGAAAUACAUAGAGAUGUCAUAGAACACCGAUUGCGAAGGCAGCUGACGAAACUGUAACUGACACUGAGGCUCGAAAGUGCGGGGAUCAAACAGG
rnacentral:rRNA from 1 species